GAUCCUGGCUCGGGACGAACGCUGGCGGCGUGCCUAACACAUGCAAGUCGAACGGAGAUAAAGAUUUCGGUUUUUAUCUUAGUGGCGCACGGGUGAGUAACACGUGAAUAACCUGACCCAAAGAGGGGGGAUAACACCUGGAAGCAGGUGCUAAUACCGCAUAAGACCACAAUGUCGCAUGACGAAGGGGUCAAAGAAAAUCGCUUUGGGAGGGGUUCGCGUCCCAUUAGGUAGUAGGCGGGGUAACAGCCCACCUAGCCGACGA
rnacentral:rRNA from 1 species